UGGGGAAUAUUGGACAAUGGGCGAAAGCCUGAUCCAGCCAUGCCGCGUGUGUGAAGAAGGUCUUCGGAUUGUAAAGCACUUUAAGUUGGGAGGAAGGGCAUUAACCUAAUACGUUAGUGUUUUGACGUUACCGACAGAAUAAGCACCGGCUAACUCUGUGCCAGCAGCCGCGGUAAUACAGAGGGUGCAAGCGUUAAUCGUAAUUACUGGGCGUAAAGCGCGCGUAGGUGGUUUGUUAAGUUGGAUGUGAAAUCCCCGGGCUCAACCUGGGAACUGCAUUCAAAACUGACUGACUAGAGUAUGGUAGAGGGUGGUGGAAUUUCCUGUGUAGCGGUGAAAUGCGUAGAUAUAGGAAGGAACACCAGUGGCGAAGGCGACCACCUGGACUAAUACUGACACUGAGGUGCGAAAGCGUGGGGAGCAAACA
rnacentral:rRNA from 1 species